UCGGGCAUGGUGUACGGAACACAACUGGCUUUCUUCGCUCGUUGCAAUCCAUGUUGCCAGUAUUCCGGGGUUCGACUCCCCGUGCCCGAA